GUCGCGUCUUAAGCAUAACAUCAACAAUUAGAUUAUAGGUACACUAUACUUUAAAAUACGUUAAAAUUACUUACAUUAUUCCUAUGCCUAACGUUUGCAAGGAAUGGAAGUUUUCUUAUUUUUUUUUUUAUCUAUUACAACCAUGUCUGGAGUUUUUAUUUCUCUUUCCAUCGUAUUGGUCAAGAUAUGAGUAACGGUAUGACUAUACGAUAAUGCGUAGAUAACAAAACGUGAAUAGUCAUUAAUUUUAUACCAAUAAUUGUAAGAAACGUAUAUUAUUUUUGUACGUCUAUAAUUUAAGCAUAUUAAAUAUUGGGAAACACGUAUAAACUUGAAAAUUGUUUACGACCUAAAAAAUGAAUACAAAAUAGGUAGAAUAACAAAAACAAUAGCGGUGAGUCAAUCCACUGCAAAUAUUAGUAUAAUCCAAUAUUAUUUUUAUCAGAGUGCACUUCAUUCCACGUGCAAACUAUUCAUUCCAAAACUGAAUGCUAAGAACCAUACAAAAUGCCGAUUGGUUGCGUGAAAAUGUGUUUAUACUAUCAAUAUUUGCAUAAUAUUAUUUGUUGUCCGAUUCAAAAUCCGAGUACUAAACAUUAUAAUACAUAUUAUAAUUAUCGGUAGAAUCAGUCUAUUGAAUAUAAAGACCAAACCUGACUACUAGUAUGUUGAAGUUAUGUCUUCGGUUAUGGUCGUAUAUUUUCGGCUUAUGACACUUUUCCCACAAGGAGUUGCGAUGGAAUUUAAGGUUUCAUGCAUGUAAACUUAACAUUUACUAAUACAUCACAUGACACAUUACUAUGCGAUUAAAAUUUUAGGUUAAACCAUUAUGUAUUAAUUUGGUAUUAGAAGUAAUUGUUACUAACAAUAAUAAUAAAGUUUUUUGCGUUAAGAAAAAUGCAGCGGUUCUCACAUCUGGGAUGAAAUUUGUUUUACAUAUAGAACGGAAUUUAAAUUGUAUUGGUAGAAAACAAUACUACUUUAUGGUGGAAAAUGAACUUAAUGAUAAUGAGCUAAUUAUUUUGAUAGCAAACGGCGAGGUUAUAUUUUUAAUAUAGUAAUUUAUUUAAACUAAUUAACAACAAUGGGCACAGAGUAUAGUAGAAUACUAUAAAAUAAUAACAACAUGAUUAAAGUAGGUAUAACAAGUAGACAAGUUACACGAACAGAAUAAUAAAAUACAAAUACAACACAAAAAUUACUAACUCAGAUUUACUUAUACAAUUUUUUAACCUAUGACGUUAACAUACGGUUGAUCGGAGCAUUAAAACUAUAAUUUAAUUGUAGUAGUUAUUUUACAUUCCUAACUAUAAAUAAGCAAAAUAUAUUUUGAAUGGAAAUAACAAAAAAAUAUGAUACAAUAAAAAUGAUAAACUAAAAUUGUAUUUCUGUAAAAUAAUUUAUAAAAUAAUUAUACAGCAGAGCUAAGCAAAAAAAGAAGAGCCCGCGCGACGACCGCGUAUUGUAACAGGAAGCAGCCAAUCAAUGUCACGUUAAGUCUAUUUUGUUACAAACAAUCAAUCAUUGUAAUUAAUUUAACUGUUAAAUAGCAAAACGUUGUAUUGUUUUAUUUUGGAUGAAAAGAAAUACUUUUCAUUUAA